rnacentral:rRNA from 1 species
UGCCAGCCGCCGCGGUAAUACGGAGGGUACGAACGUUAAUCGGAAUUACUGGGCGUAGAGCGCGCGUAGGUGGUUCAUUAAGUGGGAUGUGAAAGCCCCGGGCUCAACCUGGGAACUGCAUUCCAAACUGACGAACUAGAGUACGGUAGAGGGGGGUAGAAUUCAGAGUGUAGCGGUGAAAUGCGUAGAUAUUCUGAGGAAUACCAGUGGCGAAGGCGGCCCCCUGGAUUGAUACUGACACUCAUGUGCGAAAGCGUGGGGAGCAAACAGGAUUAGAUA